GAUGAACGCUAGCUACAGGCUUAACACAUGCAAGUCGAGGGACCGGCGCACGGGUGAGUAACACGUAUCCAACCUGCCCUUUACUCGGGGAUAGCCUUUCGAAAGAAAGAUUAAUACCCGAUAUAAAGGAUGGGGAUGCGUUCCAUUAGGUUGUUGGUGAGGUAACGGCUCACCAAGCCUUCGAUGGCUGGGGGUUCGGAGAGGAAGGCCCCCCGCAAUGGAACUACGGCCCGGACCAAAAUGGUACGCGAGACAGGAGAAAGGAAUAUUAGUCAAUGAACGCUGGCGUGGACCAGCCAAGUAGCUUGAAGAAGGAAGGCUUAUGAGUGGUAAUCUUGUGUGGUAUAAGAGAAGGUAUUAGAUGAAUAAGCAUCGGCUAACUCCGUGCCAGCAGCCGCGGUAAUAC
rnacentral:rRNA from 1 species